UACAAUCACUUCCUAACCUAGGACAGAUAGAUACUUAACUAAGUCUCAGUUUUAUCAUUUAUACAAAAUAUCUAGGAUUGUUUUGUACAAUAAAUGAGCUAAUUUAUUAGAAUGGUAUUUCUAGUAAGGUAUUCUAUCCAGGGCACAAAGUAAGCCCUGGAUAAAGGUUUGCUGUUAGAAUACAUUUGAAAGAAACAAGAAACUUUCAACUUUGAAGUUAAGUCUUUAUAUUCAAUACACUUUUUUUGUUUUUGUUUUUGUUGUUUGUUUGUCUUGUUUUUGUAGGAAAUGGAUAUAUGUUUCCAGUAGUUAUUUGGGCAAAUGGAAAUACAAGCAGUGUGUUUGAGGAAUGAUCAUAGGACUGACUGGCUUGCAGGAAUUCUUUGGAAUCAGGGAGUAAUAGAAAACAAAAUUAAAUGGAUAAGAUAGAAGAUGAUUACCAAGUUUUGAACUAAGGCAGCAGUAUGUACUUAUGGUUGAUAGAAGGAAUCACUACUCUGUUGAUGGAAGUUUUAAGUCAGGAGUGUGUAAAAUAUUCAGUGGAAAGUUUUUUUUUUUUUUUUUUACUUUCUCUAAUUCUGGAUAUUGAGCGAAGGGUCUCACGCAUGCUAGGCAAGUAUUUUAACACCGAGCUACACUCCCAGUCCUACAAGACCAUUCUGAGUGUCCUUGUGGCACACAGUAAGCCCUCAAUUUAUAUCAGAUAAAUGAGCUUUAAGAGAGACUGAGGGCCGGUAAGGUGGCGCAGGCUUGUUAUAUAAGCGCUGACGAGGCUUGGGCAGAAGGGGGAGAAAUUAAUGUUCUAUGGGUUACUCCCAUGAGAGAAAUCAGAGAUCUGAAAUCGGAAGACCCAGAAUAGAGAACCGGGGUAGUUUCAGAAGGAAGGAGGUUAGCAUAAUCCAAUACUAUUCAAGGAGAGUGAGGCUCCAGAAGGACUCCUUUGAUUUGGUAACACAGUGACCACAGAUCAUUGGACACUUGAGCAGACUGGGAUGGAGAGUUAGAUCUAAUUGUCGGGAAGUUAAGGAGGUAGUAAUGGAGACCAACUGUGGAAAAGGUACUCAGUUAAGAAAAUGGUAAGAAAGCAACUUAGAAAAGUACUCCUAGCUCUAUAUACCUGAACAGUUUCUAUUUUUUGAAGAAGAGAAUGGGAAGCAGUUUGUACUGAAUGUUCUUAGGUUUCUUAGUACAGAAGUGUUCAGUACACAUGCUGGUCCAGUGCCCUGCUUCUUGGUAAUUAUGUGAUCUUGGGGAAAUUUGCUUAAUCUCUUUGUGUCUUUGUUUUUCCAUUUUUACAAAUGGAGAUGGGCCAUCAAGAUGACCCAGUGGGUAAAGAUACUUGCUACCAAGCAUGAUGAACUGAGUUCAGUUUUUGGAACCCAUAUGGUAAGAGGAAAGAACUAACUUCUGCAGGUUGAAUUGUUGCUUCCACAUGUUUAUCAUGUCACACAUUCACUUAUCCUACAAAUUAAUAAAUGUAUAUUUUUUGAAAGAAGCACCUCAGGAAUGGAGAGGUAUCCCAGUGGUUAAGAGCACUUAAUGCUCUUGCAGAGAGAGGACCAGGGUUUGGUUCCCAGCAUUAUACAGCUUUCUAUACCUCCAGGUCCAGGGUGUCUAGUGCUCUCUUUUGACCUCUUCUGGUACCAGACACACAUGUGGUACACAUCACAUACGCACGUGGAACCAAAAUAUUCGUAGCGUUUAAAAAAAAAAUAGGCAACUCUAAAAACCAAUUUUUAAAGAGGCAUUUAUUUUACAGACCUGUUAUGAGGCCUAAAUUAUUUAUUUAUUUUUUAAAAUGCAUAAAACACUGUGCCAUUUGUGAUACAUAGCUGGUAAGUCCUAGCUAUUAUUAUCAUCUACUGUUGAAAAGAGGUUAAGGCAGUGAAGAAUUACAGAAAGACCUACAGCCUUCCCCGGCUAUUGCCUCUGUCUGGAAAACACUUAUUUUCUUCUUCUUCCUUUUCUUUCUUCUACUUUUCUUUCUUUUUGUUUGUCUUUCUAGAUAGGAUUUGUGUGUGUGUGUGUGUGUGUGUGUGUGUGUGUGUGUGUGUGUGUGUGUGUAGUUAUGGCUGCACUGGCAGGCUCUCUGUUGACCAGGGUGGACUUGAACUCAGAGAUCCACCUGCUUGUCUUUUUUCUAAAAUAUAUUUGAGCUCAGAAGUUAGUAUCCUUGGGUCUAGUAUUAAGGCAAGAAAAGGUUGAAAAUUUUAAUCUUAAAUUUCUUUAUCAAAAUUCUUUCAGGUAUGGCUAGAGAGAUGGCUCAACUCUUAAGAGUACACGAGGCUUUGCAGCAAACCUGAAUUCAGUUCUCAGUACCCACUUCAGUUUUACACUUGAUCUUAGCCAAAAGGCCGAGAAGCGAUUCCCACUUCAGUUUUAAUCCCAGGUCUGGGAUUAAAAAAACAUGUGCCACCACUGCCCAGCUUUAUUCUUUUUUUAUUCCUUUUCGAGACAGGGUUUCUCAGUGUAGCUCUGGCUGUCCUGGAACUCACUCUGUAGACCAGGCUGGCCUUGAACUCAGAAAUCUGCCUGCCUCUGCCUUCCAAGUGCUGGGAUCAAAGGUGUGCGCCACCACUGCCUGGCCUAGCUUUACUCUUAAAAUACAUUUGUUUGUUUGUUUUAGUGUGUAGGUGCCUGUGGAGGCCAGGAAGAGGGUGCUGGAGCUGAAGUUAGAUGCAGGUGAUUAAGAGCUGACUCUCUAUAGCUAUGGCUAAUAUAGAUUUGAGGAACGAAGAAGAUGGGGAGAUCAUAUAAUUUCAUAUUCUUAGAUGCUCAAUGGGAGGAUAACUUCAAUAGGUUGAAACAAAGAUCUUGUUAUUUACUGGACUUCAGUACUCUUUAUUUUGUGUGUGUGUUGGAAAUUCUUUAGUUUGAAGCUAGGCCUAAUUUCUACUGGCUCUGCUUACCUAGAUUUUUAUUAAUCCAUAGGAAUAACUUUGCAGCCUACAUAUCACAUUGAUCAGUCUUAUAAAGAGUCUGUCUCUUUUAAUUACUAAUUAGUAUUUUGUGGUAAAGAUGAACCACUGUGUAACCGUGCAACAGUGUAUCUGAUAUGGGACAGUUAAAUUGUAUUCAGUGUUUAGCUCUUACUAGAAAAGUUGUUACAAACAUUCAUGUUCAAGUUUUUACAUGAACUUAAGUUUUCAUUUUAGGAUGUAUGCCCCAAAGUAAAAUUGCUGGGACAUCUGUUAAUUACAUGUCUAGUUUGAUGAUAAUGAUGAUUGAUGGUGACAUGGUCACCUGUAUCCCAAGUUUACCUGGAACUUGAUAUGUAGUUGGAAGUUGACCUUGAAAUUGUGGUCAUUCUGCUUCCCCCUCAUGAGUACUGGGAUUACAUGCACACACCAACAGACCUGGUUUCAUAUGGUGAUGUUAAGGAUUGAACCCAGGGAUUUGUGCAUGCUGGAUAAACACUACCAACUAAGCUAUGCACCCCACUCUGUGAUUAAUGAUAUUAUUUACCAUGUCUCUUGUUGAUUUUAAUUAAUUUUUUAUCUUGAGUUCCUUAUAUAUUCUACAUCUAGAAUCAUCUGGGAGAAGGGCCUUUGGGAAUGAUUUUAGUUGAGGUGGAUAGACCCAUCUACUUUGUUUGGGUGGCGGUGCCAUUCCCUGGCUAGGGUCCUGGACUGUAAGGGAGCUGAGCAGCAUGUCUGUGUUCCUCCUUUCCCUAGCAGUAGACGAAGUGUGACCUGCUGCUUAAGCUCUGCUGUCUUGACUACCCCACCAUAAAAAGCUGCAUAUAAAACUGAGUUAGACAAACCCUGUCUCCCUGAAAUUACUUUUGUCAGGGUAUUUUAUCACAGUAAUAGGACAAGACACUGAGAUAUUUCAUCAGCAUCCUUACUGUGGUCAUGUUGAUAGGUAGGUCAUUAUGUUUUACUCUGGUUUGAGAUCCCACAUAGCUAAAAAUACUGAAAUAUUUUGUUUGUUUUGUUUGGAAGUCUGGGUUCUCAAUCAGGCUAGCUUUGAAUUCAUAGUCCUCUUACCUCUAGAGUGCUAGGAUUAUAGACAUGUCCCCAAGAGACAUUGGCCUUUUGUGAUUUUUUUUCUUUCUUUCUUUUUUUUUUUUUUUUUUUUUGCCUGUUUUUCAAUUGGAUUGACUUUCUUCUCUUGAGUUUUGAACAUUCUUUUUUUUUGCUUUUCGAGACAGGGUUUCUCUGUAGCCCUGGCUGUCCCGGAACUCACUUUGUAGAUCAGGCUGGCCUCGAACUCAGAAAUACCUGCCUCUGCCUCCCAAGUGCGGGAUUAAAGGCAUGCGCCACCACGCCUGGCCUAAUUCUUUGUAUAUUGUAGGUACAAAAGCUUUGUCAAAAAUUUAGUUUGCAAGCUGUGUGUGGUACUCACCUCUGUAAUUCUAAUACUCAGGAGAUUUC
rnacentral:lncRNA from 1 species